AUUCCAAUCGAACUCGGAGAUAGCUGGUUCUCCCCGAAAUAGCUUUAGGGCUAGCCUCAUGUUAGAUAUCCGGAGGUAAAGCACUGAAUGGCCUAGCGUCCGAGAGGAUAGCGAAGCCUAUCAAACUAAGAAUGCCGGAAUAUUGAUGCAUGGGAGUCAGACAGUGUGAGAUAAAUCUCAUUGUCAAAAGGGAAACAGCCCAGAUCUACAGCUAAGGUCCCAAAUUGUAUCUAAGUGGAAAACGAUGUGGAAAUACGCAGACAACCAGGAUGUUGGCUCAGAAGCAGCCACUCAUUUAAAGAGUGCGUAAUAGCUCACUGGUCGAGCGUCUCUGCGCGGAAAAUUUAACGGGGCUAAGAUACAAACCGAAGCUUAGGCUGCACUUUUAGUGCGGGGUAGGGGAGCGUUGUGUAAGCGGAGAAACAGUAGCGAAAGCGGCUGUGGAGUUUACAGAAGUGAGAAUGCCGGAAUGAGUAGCGCGAAUGAUGUGAGAAUCAUCAUGGCCGGAAACCUCAGGUUUUUGGAGGAAGGUUCGUCCGCUCCAAGUUAGGCGGGAGCUAAGGUGAGGCCGAAAGGCGUAGCCGAUGCACAGACGGUAGAGAUUCCGUCCCCACCGAAAGAUUUAAGCGCAGGGACACUUUUAGAAGGUCGGAGCCAGGUGUUGGUUCUGGUAGAGAUCGAGGGAAGAUUAGUACCGAAGUCCGGCUGGAUAAGAGGCGAGAAAAGCUGCGUGUAUAUCUAAGGUGCCCGUACCGCAAACCGACACAGGUAGGUAGGAAGAAGAUUCUAAGGCCAACGGGAGAAGGGUUGUUAAGGAACUCGGCAAGUUGACCCCGUAACUUCGGAAUAAGGGGUGCUCAUGAAAGUGAGCCGCAGAGAAUAGGCCCAGGCAACUGUUUACCAAAAACACAGGUUUGUGCUAAAUCGAAAGAUGACGUAUACGAGCUGACGCCUGCCCGGUGCUGGAAGGUUAAAAGGAGAUGUGCAAGCAUUGAAUUGAAGCCCCAGUGAACGGCGGCCGUAACUAUAACGGUCCUAAGGUAGCGAAAUUCCUUGUCAGGUAAGUUCUGACCCGCAUGAAAGGCGUAAUGAUCUGGGCACUGUCUCAACAGCCCGCCCGGCGAAAUUGUAGUACCGGUGAAGAUGCCGGUUACCCGCGACAAGACGGAAAGACCCCAUGGAGCUUUACUGUAGCCUGAUAUUGGGUUUCGGUGUUGCAUGCACAGGAUAGAUGGGACACUGGGAAACGGAUGCUUUGGCGUUCGUGGAGUGGACGUUGGGAUACCAUCCUUGCGACAUUGGAAUUCUAACCUGCGCCUCUGAAUCGAGGCGGGGGACAUUGUCAGGUGGGCAGUUUGACUGGGGCGGUCGCCUCCUAAAAAGUAGCGGAGGCGUUCAAAGGUUCGUUCGAUCUGGACGGAAACCAGAUGAAUGAGUGCAAACGCAUAAACGAGCCUGACUGCGAGACUGACGGGUCGAGCAGAGACGAAAGUCGGAGUUAGUGAUC
rnacentral:rRNA from 1 species